UAGUUAAGUUCUUGAAACUCAAAGAAUUUGGCGGUGUUUUAGUCUAUUCAGAGGAAUCUGUCCCGUAAUCGAUAAUUCACGAAUUAUAGUACUUAAUUUUGUUUAAAUCAGUUUGUAUACCGCCGUCAUCAGAUAAUAUUAGGAGAUAAUAAAUUUUCUUGAGAUUUUAUUAAAUUAUAUGUCAGGUCAAGGUGCAGUUUAUAAUUAAGUGGGAAGAUGGAUUACAAUAAAAUUAUUUAUUAACGGAUUUUAGAAUGAAAAAAUGAAUGAAGGUGGAUUUGAUAGUAAGAUUAUUGUUUAGUGAUUUGAUUUUAGCUCUAAAACAUGUACACAUCGCCCGUCGCUCUCAUUAUAAAGUGAGAUAAGUCGUAACAUAGUAGAUGUACUGGAAAGUGUAUCUAGAUAGU
rnacentral:rRNA from 1 species